ACUUAUGACCAAAUCACCCAGAGUGUGCUUGAUCUCAUCAGUUCUCAGAAGCUAAGCAGUUUCAGCCUGGAUAGUGCUUGGAGAGGUGACUACCCUGCACUGCAGGUUACAGUG
rnacentral:rRNA from 1 species